rnacentral:rRNA from 1 species
AUUGAACGCUGGCGGAAUGCUUUACACAUGCAAGUCGAACGGCAGCACGGGGGGCAACCCUGGUGGCGAGUGGCGAACGGGUGAGUAAUACAUCGGAACGUGCCCAGUCGUGGGGGAUAACGUAGCGAAAGCUACGCUAAUACCGCAUACGAUCUCUGGAUGAAAGCGGGGGACCGCAAGGCCUCGCGCGAUUGGAGCGGCCGAUGGCAGAUUAGGUAGUUGGUGGGGUAAAGGCUCACCAAGCCGACGACCUGUAGCUGGUCUGAGAGGACGACCAGCCACACUGGGACUGAGACACGGCCCAGACUCCUACGGGAGGCAGCAGUGGGGAAUUUUGGACAAUGGGCGCAAGCCUGAUCCAGCCAUUCCGCGUGCAGGAUGAAGGACCCUCGGGUUGUAAACUGCUUUUGUACGGAACGAAAAGUGCCGGUUAAUACC